rnacentral:rRNA from 1 species
CGAAGGUCCCAAGCGUUAUCCGGAUUUAUUGGGUUUAAAGGGUGCGUAGGCGGGUUAUUAAGUCAGUGGUGAAAGCUCCAUGCCUAACAUGGAAAUUGCCAUUGAUACUGAUGAUCUUGAGUACAUUUGAAGUGGGCGGAAUGUGUCAUGUAGUGGUGAAAUACUUAGAUAUGACACAGAACACCGAUUGCGUAGGCAGCUCACUAAACUGUAACUGACGCUGAGGCACGAAAGCGUGGGGAGCAAACAGGAUUAGAUACCCUGGUAGUCCACGCCCUAAACGAUGAUCACUCGAUGUGUGCAAUACACCGUACGCGUCCAAGCGAAAGCAUUAAGUGAUCCACCUGGGGAGUACGGCCGCAAGGCUG